CUUUAAUGAGUGCCUUUGGAGCGAGUUCUUGCCGUCUAUGUAAAUGUAUUCAAAGUCCAAAGUGCUCAAAGAGCUUCAUUUGCCAUUAACUGUGAGUCUUUUUAUCAGAUGACUCCACUCUUUCACAGAACCAAAAUGCAACAACUUCUAUGGGGGUACACUACCAAGCUACAUGCAGACAUCAACGAUUAUACGUAACCCAGUUUGCAGCGAAACCAUGUGGACAGCAUACUAUAUAUAAAAAUGUCCAUUGUCUCUUCGCAAGCCAAGGCCACCACAUAAUGCCAGAGGUCAAUUAUUGACAGGUUCAUAAUGGCAAGCUCAAAGGAACUUGGUUAAUGUAUAGAGUUUUGAAAGAAUGUUUGGCUACAUUUCCUCUUCUUCAACAAAAGCACCAAAUGUUUAGAACAAACACGAGGGGCGAUGGUGUUUUCAGUGAUUGACAGAUAGCGCUGUUCAGGUGAUGAAUUGAGGGUGAAAGUUCAAAAGAUGUAAUUUCCUGUUUGAUAGCACUACCACAAAAAUGGCGGCAUGUCAUCAUCUUUGUUUGUAUGCAUGGUGUCAGGUCUAAGUACCAUCAAAAUUAGCCUCCGGUUGACCUUGUAUGAAACUUACUUCUACAAUUGUGGCUGCAGGCCACCCUGAACAUGAUAAGUGGUAUAGAAAAUUGAUGGAUGGAUGGAUGGAUGGAUGGAUGGAUGGAUGGAUGGAUGGAUGGAUGGAUGGAUGGAUGGAUGGAUGGAUGGAUGGAUGGAUGGACGGAUGGAGGGACAGAUUGAGGGACAGAUGGAGGGACGGACGGAUUUAAUAGCAGUGUAAUGUUUUUUUCUUGCGCGGAUUUUACUCCAGCUUCCACCUGCAUCACCACAACCUGCUUCUUUGGUAAACUGAGGACUCUAAAUGCCAAUAGGGGUGAAAGUCCAGUGUAACCUGCUGAGGACAAACACGACAAAAUAAAAAUGUGGAUGAAUGGAUGGAAUGUUUACAGUAAAUAGAUAAAAAAAUAAAUGCAGAAAAGCAAAACAACAAGUGGGUGUUUGUAUUUAGUUUUAGUUUCCCUAAAUAGGUCUUUUGGAUUUCAAAUAAUGAAUCAUAAUUCAAGGUUAAUGACCUGGUGUCCUUAGUGUAAUAAACACCGCCGCCAUUAAACAUUCAUUGUUCCUCCCUGCGUGUUGGAGGUGCUUGUGAGUUAGCAGAAUUCCUUGAAACUUGACUGGCUAACCCUACUCGCGUUGGAACGGACGCUCUUGCGAAACAUUUGGUUACAAAUUAAUCUACGUCUCACUCACAUUUAGCCGCCACUUACACCGGUCCAAAAUUUAGCCCUCAAUCCUUCCAAUAAUUCAUGUGAUGGUUAAUAUUUGAGGGAGAUAGAUGAGCCAAGCCACAGAAAUAUACCCCAGCACUUUUGAAAUGGAGAUACAUUGCGUGUUAUACAGUUCCAUAAUAGAGGUUAUGAAACUUAAAAACAAAGAGGAAACAACCUUCUCAAGGAAAUGGGUCAGCAUUUUGGGACACUCCUCGGACAGUUGUCAGUGUUGUCACAACUCAUAUGACUCACUGAAUCAUGUUAAAGACCCUGUAAAGUGAAGAUAUAUGGUUGAAUUGUUUUGUACCAGUUCAGGUUUUCUAAUUUUUUGGGAUGUGGCUAAAAUGGAGCCUGGAGACUGCCUCCCCCACCAAGGAGGAUGAGCGAGCUGCCCGACCGCAGGCUGAGAGGUUCUCCUGUAGUCAGCUUGUGAGCUUGCUGGUGGCUUGCAUCACAGCUUGGAAAGCCCUGCGAUGACACGGUGGGAUAUAUUCCAGCCAGCAUAUUCUCUGGAAGCAGAUACAUUUUUGGAGCUCAAAGCUGCAGGGAUGUUUAGCAUGCCUCGCAGCAUUUAAGGGCGGAGAAAAGCCAUGAUCUGUUGUGACAUCAAAGUCUCAGUUGAUGUUUAUUUUUUUUUUCCAAUCAUUAAAACUUGGCAGGGCUGAUAUCUCUUCUCUGUGGUGUGUCAAAUUUACAAGACAAGUUUUCUUUGUCUGAUAUGUGAGUGAGUAGAAUAUUUCGUUCUUACUUUAUUUGAUCUCCUGCUCUAUGGUCCAAUGUGACAUCAUAAUUCAUCAUAAUCUACCAAGAGUUAGAAGAUCAAGGGACAAUAGAGGCCCUCGUUACUCAAGGUCAUUUGGUUUACCCUCUGUGACUGCCGCAAUAUAAGUCACACAACCAUUAACAGAUACUUUUACUGCUGUGGGAAUAUUAUGCUGUAAAUCAGGCUUGCGUCUCAUACACUAUUAUGAAAAUCCAAUCCAAGUCGCCAUGCAGCGAGACAUUCCUUACCGAGUCUGAGAAAAAAGCUUGGAUGGAGGUCAAACGGUUCAGUUGUGACGUCAAGAUUUGUAUCGUGGCUAUGGAUCAUGGCCCAAUUGCAUUCAGUGUCAACAAAGCUUGUGCAUACGUGUGUGUGUGUGUGCGAGUGUGCUUUGUCUUUUAAAAGGUCUCACUUCCUGCCCUUCACCAUCUUGACCUCUAAACCAUGGCGGCGGCCAUUGCACAGAGAUCAGCAUUCAACCAGCCUUCAUUUUUUUUCUUUGCCUUCACGAAAACACAUUCCAAAUAUGCCCACCUCAGUUAAUAGAAUGUAGGGUAAUAUUUGUAUGUUAAAACUGAACAUUUCCUUUUUUGUUUAUACCCAAUGAAUAAUCAAACAACUAGUUUUUCAUAGGCGAUUGCAUCGAUGCGUUGGAGCCACUGAUGAUGCGUCCACGAUGCAAGUUUUUUGAGUUGCGGCCAAAAGAGGAGUCACCUUGUCCUUGCGUGAGCUCUGCACCACUUCCUGUCUUCCCUCUGUGUCCAGCCCACCUUGCUUAUGACUAUUUCCUGCUUUCAUCUGCACAACCUUGUCCUCAUUGCCCCAGCUGCACAUGCGGGCUGAGGUUUUCAAUAACCUCUGCGGCAGACAUCGGUCAUGUUCCCAUAUAACUAACUACAGUACAAUGCAGCUUCCGCUAUGCAAUUACUGUACAGUACAUCCUCUCCCUCCCGAAGAGGAGCUGCAAUAAACUCCGCCUCCUCGUCUUCUCUGUGGAUCACCUGAGUGGUGAACCAGGAAAUAGAGGCGUUGCGGCAAGUGCAAUGUCCUUCAAGGGAUCUCCUUCAACUGAACUCAGGCUCAUUUCUGCAGGCUCAUUGUUAGAAUCUUACGUCGAGCGCUCUCUCACACACAUGCACGCACACACACACAUGCACAGGCACACACAAGAGUCUUUUGUCAGCAUGUCUAGCGGUAUGUUAUCAGUGGCAACAAAAUAAUUGCACAUACGGGACAGAAUGUACAGAGAGAUAGGGAGAGAAAGAGAGAGCAAGAGAGGGCAUAGCGACUCGGAUUUCAGGGAGUUCUUCCUUCAAAAGCACACUGUCCUCCAAAUGUCACCAAUGAUGGAAAAGUACUGUCCCACCCAAAAGAACUUCUCCUUCAGUUGGGGAUUAAGCGGCUUCUUUUGCUUUCGCUCUUCCUCGGAGCAAGCCUUCCGAUUUAAAAAAUGUUGACAAAAUAUGUCAGUACUUUACAUUCUGUAUCUUUGUUGUACAAUAGAUACAAUGUGAUACAGUUGGCAUUGCUAAAGGCAUAGCUGUUGUGAUAUUUUGUGUUGUGACUACAUGAUUACAAUCAAGUACAGUAGACAUAAAUUGCUAAACAAUUGCUUCUCAAUUUGAAUUAAGCAGACUAUGGUACCAGUGGAUCACUAUGCUACACUAGAGCAGGGUUCACCUACGGGCACUAGGUUACCUCCAAGUACUACUGGUGACUUGAUUUGCUAUUUUAGGAGUGCAUACCAAAUUGGAAGUCUUGACCCGGACAAUACAUUUACAGUAUGUGGCUGUUUGAUGUGUUAGACCUUAAAUGUGGGCACAAUGGGCUAGUCCCUUGGGUACCUCAAGGGCAAGUCCUUGUAUAUGUUUCCACAGCAAGUUUAGUUACAGUACGUGUAUAUGCCGAGGAGCAUCAGAGGAAUGACUGUGCAGAUAUCAUGUUUGCUGUAUGGCGAAUGUACAUCUUAUAUACAGUGCUAGGAUGCAAAGGAGUGGAAAAUUUCAAGUGUAUUUCCAGAAUGUUUGGAGUAAAAUUCUGAAAGA